rnacentral:tRNA from 1 species
AAACUGCUCAUACUAUCAUUAUAGUAUAAUGACGAGUGGUUGUAUAUGGUGCUAUCGUC